GCCCUUCACUGGGGAACAACCUGGGGAAACUCGGGCUAAUACCGCAUAAGACCACAGUAUCUGCGGAUACAGGGGUCAAAGAUUUAUCGCUGAGGGAUGAGUCCGCGUCCAAUUAGCUUGUUGGUGGGGUAAAGGCCUACCAAGGCUACGAUUGGUAGCUGGUCUGAGAGGAUGAUCAGCCACACUGGAACUGAUACACGGUCCAGACUCCUACGGGAGGCAGCAGUACGGAAUAUUGCGCAAUGGGGGAAACCCUGACGCAGCGACGCCGCGUGAGUGAUGAAGGCUUUCGGGUUGUAAAGCUCUGUUCUUAGGGAAUAAAAAAAUGAAGGUACCUAAGAAGAAAGGACCGGCUAACUUCGUGCCAACAGCCGCGGUAAUACGAGGGGUCCUAGCGUUGUUCGGAAUCAUUGGCCGUAAAGCGGGUGUAGGUGGUUGAAUUAGUCAGAAGUGAAAGCCCUGAGCUUAACUUGGGAAGUGCUUUUGAUACUGUUUAACUUGAGUGCGGGAGAGGAUAGCG
rnacentral:rRNA from 1 species